CAAGGGACACUGUCUGGAAAAGGAUCUACAAGUCCAGCUGCUGUUUCUGGGGUCACAGGCAUCUCUGGGACUCUAACAGCCAACUCCAAGAGGACCUUGGUCACAGGUGGCUUGUGGGACACCUGGUCAUGUCUGUCACCAGGUUCCAGGUGUCAUCAGGAUGCCGGCCAGACUUCCCUGGAUUGAAGACACCACCAAUGUGUCCUGGAGCUCAGCUUCCCCAGAGACCCAUCCUACUAGGGAAAGAGAGAGGCAGACUGGGAGUAUGGACCGACCAGUCAACGCCCAUGUUCAGCGAGGAAGCAAUUACAGAAGCCAGACCUUCUACCUUCUGCAACCCUCAAUGACCCUGGGUCCAUGCUCCCAGAGGGAUAGAGAAUGGGAAAGCUAUCGGGGGAGGGGGUGGGAUAUGGAGAUUGGGCGGUGGGAAUUGUGUGGAGUUGUACCCCUCCUACCCUAUGGUUUUGUUAAUUAAUCCUUUCUUAAAUAAAAAAAAAAC